CCUACGGGUGGCAGCAGUGGGGAAUAUUGGACAAUGGGGGAAACCCUGAUCCAGCGACGCCGCGUGAGUGAAGAAGUAUUUCGGUAUGUAAAGCUCUAUCAGCAGGGAAGAAAAUGACGGUACCUGACUAAGAAGCCCCGGCUAACUACGUGCCAGCAGCCGCGGUAAUACGUAGGGGGCAAGCGUUAUCCGGAUUUACUGGGUGUAAAGGGAGCGUAGACGGCAGCUCAAGUCUGAAGUGAAAUGCCGGGGCCCAACCCCGGAACUGCUCUGGAAACUGGGAAGCUGGAGUGCAGGAGAGGUAAGCGGAAUUCCUGGUGUAGCGGUGAAAUGCGUAGAUAUUAGGAGGAACACCGGUGGCGAAGGCGGCUUACUGGACCGUAACUGACGUUGAGGCUCGAAAGCGUGGGGAGCAAACAGGAUUAGAUACCCCGGUAGUC
rnacentral:rRNA from 1 species